CUAUUGUUUUCUAUGUGGAACCGAGAGAAACUAAUCUAAUCUACUCUUGUCUGCCACUAGUAACCAAUUAGAUUCUUUUAUGCUUCAUUCCAGUCGGCACACAUCCACAAAUUUUGCACAAAACACAAAUCAGUUUCUAUCAACUAGGAAGAGAGAAAUUGAGCCGAGAGAGUCUUGAGAAAGAGAGGAACAUUCCCUUGCUUGGUGGCUGCGAGGAAGA
rnacentral:lncRNA from 1 species